CCUACGGGUGGCUGCAGUAGGGAAUAUUGCUCAAUGGGGGCAACCCUGAAGCAGCAAAGCCGCGUGAAGGAUGAAGGUUUUCGGAUUGUAACCUCCUUUUGUUAGAGGAGAUAAUGACGGUAUCUAACGAAUAAGCACCGUCUAACUCCGUGCCAGCAGCCGCGGUAAUACGGAGGGUGCAAGCGUUACUCGGUAUCAAUGGGCGUAAAGAGCGCGUAGGCGGGAUAGCAAGUCAGAUGUGAAAUCCUAUGGCUUAACCAUAGAACUGCAGUUGAAACUGUUAUUCUAGAGUAUGUGAGAGGUAGGUGGAAUUCGUGGUGUAGCGGUAGAAUGCGUAGAGAUCAAGAGGAACACUCAUUGCGAAGGCGACCUGCUAGAACAUAACUGACGCUGAUGCGCGAAAGCGUGGGGAGCAAACAGGAUUAGAUACCCUUGUAGUC
rnacentral:rRNA from 1 species